GAGAAGAAUAGAAAUACAGAAANUGCUAACUAUCUGAUCUCGUGGUUAAACUCCACGAUC
rnacentral:tRNA from 1 species